ACCUUAUCUAACUUCCCAUGCAAUUAGAGAUUCUCUUUACAAUAUUAAAAAGUUAAUUUGAAAACAUGUUUCUAUCUAAUCUUUUAGUACUCCUAAAUUUUGAUGCAACUCAAAUAUAGUUGAUGAUUGCUUUCUCAACUUUGCUAGCAUCUUUUACAAGAUGAAUAAUUUAGUUUAUAUUUAGGCAAUGAAUAAAUACCAUAGCAAAGUGGGUAAUUAUAGCAGCUUACUCUUUUCAGAGUGUUCCUCUGCCUAACUCAGAGAAGUCCCAGAGGAAAUAAAGGAACUGGAACGAGGAAUUAAGUAUAAGAAUGAAAUAUACCUACAGUAUCUUUGGAAGAAGCACAUCCCAUUGAACUGAGGCUAUGGAGAUCUCAAGACAGGAGCAGCCUGGAAUGCUUCCCUGGAUUGUGUACCUCGACAUGGCAGUGAGAUUUCCACGGGUCAUUCCUCUGCCCCCGCAAAGAGUUCACAGCGGUGAUUGUUGGGAUCAUCUGUCAAGAUGGCAGAGUGACAAGAUGGUACCAGUCUGGCUUUCUGAGUCAACAGCUUAAAGAUAGCUGCUGGUAGAUGAGCUUCCUGACUUCAUUGGACUUUGUUGCACUGUCUUGAGAUUCUGGGAUUAAAGCAGCACCUACUUUAUCCUGACUAACACAGAUGAGUAUUCACUUACUCCCCCAAUCUGUACCAACCUUCAUUUAUUUUGUUUUCUUCUUCAAUUUUUUCCUAGACAAUAUUGUAAUCCUACAGCCAAUAGGUAGGUAGUGAGCUGAACAAUUAGCCUUGAUGACAAAUAGAUGUGAGAGUUAAAAAAUAUGAGAGAAAAAGGAAAAAAAAUUAUUCUGGAAGUAAUAAAUGAGGUAGCUGCAAAUCCCA
rnacentral:lncRNA from 12 species